rnacentral:rRNA from 1 species
AUUGAACGCUGGCGGCAGGCUUAACACAUGCAAGUCGAGCGGAGAUGAGGUGCUUGCACCUUAUCUUAGCGGCGGACGGGUGAGUAAUGCUUAGGAAUCUGCCUAUUAGUGGGGGACAACAUUCCGAAAGGAAUGCUAAUACCGCAUACGCCCUACGGGGGAAAGCAGGGGAUCUUCGGACCUUGCGCUAAUAGAUGAGCCUAAGUCGGAUUAGCUAGUUGGUGGGGUAAAGGCCUACCAAGGCGACGAGCUGUAGCGGGUCUGAGAGGAUGAUCCGCCACACUGGGACUGAGACACGGCCCAGACUCCUACGGGAGGCAGCAGUGGGGAAUAUUGGACAAUGGGGGGAACCCUGAUCCAGCCAUGCCGCGUGUGUGAAGAAGGCCUUAUGGUUGUAAAGCACUUUAAGCGAGGAGGAGGCUCUUUUGGUUAAUACCCAAGAUGAGUGGACGUUACUCGCAGAAUAAGCACCGGCUAACUCUGUGCCAGCCGCCGCCGUAACAC